rnacentral:lncRNA from 1 species
UGUGGUAUUUCUGGAUCCUUACCAAGGCAAUGAUGGUAUAUGCCUUCUCUCAAGAUAUGUGGUAUUUGUGGUAUAAGGCAUAGUGACAUUGCCUUCUCUCUCACCCUACUCUAAUAAGGCUUUAUUUAUCUGGAGCUCAUAGGUGGGAGAUAAAGUAUACAUACUUACAAGACAUUUAUUGUAUAGUCAAACCAUGGAUCCAAAGAAACAAAUCAAUAAGCUAAAUCAAGAUGUGCAUGUGUGGCGAAUGAAUGGUGUAUGAUGAUGAUGGUGAUAACAAUGGUGAAAGUCUAAUUCUACUUUUGCUCUUUUGAGGGGAUACAUACCGUCCUUGCUUUUUGAAACUUUGUGAGGAGAAUGAGAUGCUCUUCUUUUUCUUUUCUCUCAGAUGGGUAUCUUGUACCUCUAAUUCUACUGUCGGACACUUGUCCAUUUUUACCUCUCGUCUUACUUUUUCUUUCUUUCGAGGUUCCGGGCACUUGCCCUUUUUUAUUUCCUCGUUUAUUAUUUUUUUAGAGCACUCAUCUCUUGAGAUAAUAUAGCAAGUGGUAGUAGUAAGAUAACUUGAGCAUUUAUUUCACAAGGGAAAACAGAAAUAUUUUUGGCUAUUCUCUCACGGAUUAGGAGUAGAAUAUUUUUGGGUGGUUCUGGAGAUGGACAUGGAUGGAUAUAUGUGGAUGGUACUUCCGGAGUAGAAGUAGCAUAUAUGAGUGAACGUGCAAGUGAAUCUUGAUUUAACCACAUGACAAGCUCCUAAGGGUCUACACAGUUUGACCACACUCAAUGCUCAUAAGCAGUAAAUAGUAAAUGUGUGGCUCAAAGUCUAGCAAGUAUGUAUAUAUGGCUGUGGUAGGAAUUUAAACUCUCAUCAUACAGGAACUCAUCAUGCAAUAUUUUAAAGAUUUUUCAAAGAUAAAAUUCUUCAGAAUUCUAGCAUCUCUAGGAACAGAUAAACAACAGCUCAACCUUCCCAUAUCAUAUCCAUUAACAACUUAGAUUUCAGAUCAAGUUUUCAUCCCACAAGUUUAGAUCUAGAGCAAGCUUUAAAUUAUAACAGUUAUGUCUAAACUUGAGAGAGAACUUCAAAUUUGCAAAUUAGGCAGAGCAACUAUUC